UGGGUGGCGAGCGUUGUCCGGAAUUACUGGGUGUAAAGGGAGCGUAGGCGGGAGAGCAAGUCAGAAGUGAAAAUUAUGGGCUUAACCCAUAACCUGCUUUUGAAACUGUUUUUCUUGAGUAAGACAGAGGCAAGCGGAAUUCCUAGUGUAGCGGUGAAAUGCGUAGAUAUUAGGAGGAACACCAGUGGCGAAGGCGGCUUGCUGGGUCUUUACUGACGCUGAGGCUCGAAAGCGUGGGGAGCA
rnacentral:rRNA from 1 species